CUCAAUGCGUCGAGGGUAGCCGGCCUGAGAGGGUGACCGGCCACACUGGGACUGAGACACGGCCCAGACUCCUACGGGAGGCAGCAGUGGGGAAUAUUGCACAAUGGGCGCAAGCCUGAUGCAGCAACGCCGCGUGAGGGAUGACGGCCUUCGGGUUGUAAACCUCUUUUAGCAGGGAAGAAGCGAAAGUGACGGUACCUGCAGAAAAAGCGCCGGCUAACUACGUGCCAGCAGCCGCGGUAAUACGUAGGGCGCAAGCGUUAUCCGGAAUUAUUGGGCGUAAAGAGCUCGUAGGCGGUUUGUCGCGUCUGCUGUGAAAUCCCGAGGCUCAACCUCGGGCCUGCAGUGGGUACGGGCAGACUAGAGUGCGGUAGGGGAGAUUGGAAUUCCUGGUGUAGCGGUGAAAUGCGCAGAUAUCAGGAGGAACACCGAUGGCGAAGGCAGA
rnacentral:rRNA from 1 species